rnacentral:siRNA from 1 species
CAGUUGUUUCUGGAGAUGGUCA